UCGAGAAUAAUUCACAAUGGGGGCAACCCUGAUGGUGCAACGCCGCGUGGAGGAUGACGGUCUUAGGAUUGUAAACUCCUGUCAUCCGGGAGAAAGACCUGGUCGUUAAUAGCGAACAGGGUUGAUAGUACCGGAAGAGGAAGGGACGGCUAACUUCGUGCCAGCAGCCGCGGUAAUACGAAGGUCCCGAGCGUUAUUCGGAAUCACUGGGCGUAAAGGGAGCGUAGGCGGCGUAGUAAGUCGGAUGUGAAAUCCCGGGGCUCAACCCCGGAACUGCAUCUGAUACUGCUAUGCUAGAGUAAUGGAGGGGUAGCUGGAAUUCUUGGUGUAGCAGUGAAAUGCGUGGAUAUCAAGAGGAACACUCGUGGCGAAAGCGAGCUACUGGACAUUUACUGACGCUGAGGCUCGAAGGCUAGGGGAGCGAAAG
rnacentral:rRNA from 1 species